rnacentral:rRNA from 1 species
GUGAGGAAUAUUGGACAAUGGGCGCAAGCCUGAUCCAGCCAUGCCGCGUGCAGGAAGACGCAUCUAUGGUGUGUAAACUGCUUUUGUACGGGAAGAAACACUCCCUCGUGAGGGAGCUUGACGGUACCGUAAGAAUAAGGAUCGGCUAACUCCGUGCCAUCAGCCGCGGUAAUACGGAGGAUCCAAGCGUUAUCCGGAAUCAUUGGGUUUAAAGGGUCCGUAGGCGGUUUAAUAAGUCAGUGGUGAAAGCCCAUCGCUCAACGAUGGAACGGCCAUUGAUACUGUUAGACUUGAAUUACAAGGAAGUAACUAGAAUAUGUAGUGUAGCGGUGAAAUGCUUAGAUAUUACAUGGAAUACCAAUUGCGAAGGCAGGUUACUACUUGUGGAUUGACGCUGAUGGACGAAAGCGUGGGGAGCGAACAGGAUUAGAAACCCUGGUAGUCC